rnacentral:rRNA from 1 species
GACGAACGCUGGCGGCGUGCCUAAUACAUGCAAGUAGAACGCUGAAGGAGGAGCUUGCUCUUCUGGAUGAGUUGCGAACGGGUGAGUAACGCGUAGGUAACCUGCCUGGUAGCGGGGGAUAACUAUUGGAAACGAUAGCUAAUACCGCAUAACAGUAGAUGUUGCAUGACAUUUGCUUAAAAGGUGCAAUUGCACCACUACCAGAUGGACCUGCGUUGUAUUAGCUAGUUGGUGGGGUAACGGCUCACCAAGGCGACGAUACAUAGCCGACCUGAGAGGGUGGUCGGCCACACUGGGACUGAGACACGGCCCAGACUCCUACGGGAGGCAGCAGUAGGGAAUCUUCGGCAAUGGACGGAAGUCUGACCGAGCAACGCCGCGUGAGUGAAGAAGGUUUUCGGAUCGUAAAGCUCUGUUGUAAGAGAAGAAAGAGUGUGAGAGUGGAAAGUUCACACUGUGACGGUAUCUUACCAGAAAGGGACGGCUAACUACGUG